AGCAGCCGCCGCGGUAAUACGUAGGUGGCAAGCGUUGUCCGGAAUUAUUGGGCGUAAAGGGCUCGCAGGCGGUUUCUUAAGUCUGAUGUGAAAGCCCCCGGCUCAACCGGGGAGGGUCAUUGGAAACUGGGAAACUUGAGUGCAGAAGAGGAGAGUGGAAUUCCACGUGUAGCGGUGAAAUGCGUAGAGAUGUGGAGGAACACCAGUGGCGAAGGCGACUCUCUGGUCUGUAACUGACGCUGAGGAGCGAAAGCGUGGGGAGCGAACAGGAUUAGAUACCCCAGUAGUCCCUGUCUCUUAUAC
rnacentral:rRNA from 1 species